CCUACGGGAGGCAGCAGUAGGGAAUCUUCCGCAAUGGACGAAAGUCUGACGGAGCAACGCCGCGUGAGCGAUGAAGGCCUUCGGGUCGUAAAGCUCUGUUGUCAGGGAAGAACAAGUAUCGGAGUAACUGCCGGUACCUUGACGGUACCUGACCAGAAAGCCACGGCUAACUACGUGCCAGCAGCCGCGGUAAUACGUAGGUGGCAAGCGUUGUCCGGAAUUAUUGGGCGUAAAGCGCGCGCAGGCGGUUCCUUAAGUCUGAUGUGAAAGCCCCCGGCUCAACCGGGGAGGGUCAUUGGAAACUGGGGAACUUGAGUGCAGAAGAGGAGAGCGGAAUUCCACGUGUAGCGGUGAAAUGCGUAGAGAUGUGGAGGAACACCAGUGGCGAAGGCGGCUCUCUGGUCUGUAACUGACGCUGAGGCGCGAAAGCGUGGGGAGCGAACAGGAUUAGAUACCCUGGUAGUCCACGCCGUAAACGAUGAGUGCUAAGUGUUAGAGGGUUUCCGCCCUUUAGUGCUGCAGCAAACGCAUUAAGCACUCCGCCUGGGGAGUACGGCCGCAAGGCUGAAACUCAAAGGAAUAGACGG
rnacentral:rRNA from 1 species